GUUGCUAAUUGCCGAGGUCCUCUUCUAGGAUUGGUUGUCCACUCAUAACCAUAAGAUAAUUAAAACGGGGGGGGGCAGGGUAAAAAAAAAACCCUUUUAUCAGCCAUAGGUUAAUGCAAGUGUUUAACAGAUGCUUCGCUAUUAAAAUAUUUCCCCCCAAUACUGAAGAAUCUUAAACCAGCAACCCUAACAGAGAUUGCGAAGAUUUUCAAAGUGGGGCACCUCGAUUUCUCGAAUCUGUGGUGUGGCGAAUAUCCGUGUUCCUCCUGCUUAACUAGCCUGUUUGAAGGCACAGUUCAUUCUCGAGCAAUUCGUCACCUCCUGGGGGUCUUCUCUUCCCGUCUACAGGAGAGUGUGACUUCAGAAAGAACUUCGGAUUGGCCAAGGCCAUUAAAGCUGGUGAGCGACUUGGAAGUCAUUUAGAAAGGAACAGACCUUCAACCUCAAGCCUUUGCGGGCACUGGGAAAGUGUCUUCCCAAUCAAUCUGGCUUGCAGGCGGCAGGACCAACUCUGACCUGGCUUAUCUUGUACCCAUCCUAAAUACACCAAACUCAAGAGGUAGCCAGGGCCGCCUCAACACCGAGGCAGGUCUGAUUCUAUUUAUUCUAAAGACAGAGUUGGAGAUGGGCUACCAUUGGUGUUGAUUGAGAUGACAAGCAGUCACCUGAGCCCAUACAGCUGGUAAGUAGAACAGUACUGGAGAGAUGGCUCAGCAGUUAAGAGCACUGACUGCUCUUCCAGAGAUCCUGAGUUCAAUUCCCAGCAACCACAUGGUGGCUCACAAACAUCUGUAAUGAGAUCAGGUGCCCUCUUCUGGUGCCUUUGAAGACAAAGACAGUGUAGUGUCAUAUAUAUAAAAUAAAUAAAUCUUUAGAAAUUUGAAAAUAA
rnacentral:lncRNA from 1 species